rnacentral:tRNA from 1 species
CAAAUUAAAGCUUUUAAAGCAUUUUAUUUACAUUAAAAAGGAUUAUUUAUAAUAAAUAUAGUUUGA